UUCCCACCUUGUGGUUGGAGGAAGUGAAAUCAAAGGUGCCUGGCCAGCCACAAGACAGACAGGAAGUUGUUAGGAACUGCUUCCGCUGAAUUCUUUCCCUAUCCCGAAAACGCCCCUCUGUGUGUGUUACAGAGAUAAACUACGGAGCGCACAGUGGGUGUUCAAAAACCAUGCAAGAGGUGCUUGCGAAGGCGGCACUGCUCCUCGGUGGCAGCACUCUGGCAGAAGGAGGGACGCAAGCCAGGCAUUUUCCGUGCCAGGCUGGGUACCACGGUCACUUACUGAAAGCCACGGCGGGAAAACCGCGGGCCGAGGGAGCGGCUCGCGGCGGCUCGCGGCAGCGCGCGCUCUGCUGGCGGGGGAGAAAUCUGCCGAUCCGCCCGCUCUGUGGUCCUAGGAAUUAGACUUCAGCGGACUUCACAGGCUGCUGAUUCCUCAGGCCCCCUCCAGAGGCUGCUGCGAGGGAUCGCUCAGGGCUUCAGAGUGGAUCUGCAGGGACUGGUGCUGUCCCCGAGACGAGCGAGCCUGCGUGGCCAGCCUGACUGAAGAAGACACGGAGCUGUGCACCAGCACGGCGUGGCAUGGUAAUCUCAGCACGCUGGGAGGCUGAGGCAGGAGGAUCGCAAAUCUGAGCCCCGCCUGGACAAUUUAGUGACUUCAGGAGACCUUGUCUCAAAAAAAAAAAAAAAAAAAAGAAAAAAAA